rnacentral:rRNA from 1 species
GACGAACGCUGGCGGCGUGCCUAAUACAUGCAAGUAGAACGCAGUUGCGAGCGGGUGAGUAACACGUAGGUGAUUGCCUCAUAGCGGGGGGUAACUAAUGGAAACGAUAGAUAAUACAGCAUACUGUGAGAUGGAUCUGCGUUGUAUUAGCUAGUUGGUGAGGGAAAGGCUCACCAAGGCGACGAUACAUAGCCGGGCUGAGAAGGAGGUUCGCCAACCUGGGACCGGGACAAGGGCCAGAAUCCUUAGGGAGGCAGCAGGAGGGAAACUUCGGCAAUGGACGGAAGUCUGACCGCGCAACGCCGCGUGAGUGAAGAAGGGUGUCGGAACGUAAAGCUCUGUUGUUUGAGAAGCGGUAACUAACCAGAAAGGAACGGCUAACUACGUGCCAGCAGCCGCGGUAAUUC